rnacentral:rRNA from 1 species
GGGUGGCGACCGGCGCACGGGUGAGUAACGCGUAUGCAACUUGCCUAUCAGAGGGGGAUAACCCGGCGAAAGUCGGACUAAUACCGCAUGAAGCAGGGAUCCCGCAUGGGAAUAUUUGCUAAAGAUUCAUCGCUGAUAGAUAGGCAUGCGUUCCAUUAGGCAGUUGGCGGGGUAACGGCCCACCAAACCGACGAUGGAUAGGGGUUCUGAGAGGAAGGUCCCCCACAUUGGUACUGAGACACGGACCAAACUCCUACGGGAGGCAGCAGUGAGGAAUAUUGGUCAAUGGCCGAGAGGCUGAACCAGCCAAGUCGCGUGAGGGAUGAAGGUUCUAUGGAUCGUAAACCUCUUUUAUAAGGGAAUAAAGUGCGGGACGUGUCCCGUUUUGUAUGUACCUUAUGAAUAAGGAUCGGCUAACUCCGUGCCAGCAGCCGCGGUAAUACGCAGGAUCCGAGCGUUAUCCGGAUUUAUUGGGUUUAAAGGGUGCGUAGGCGGCCUUUUAAGUCAGCGGUGAAAGUCUGUGGCUCAACCAUAGAAUUGCCGUUGAAACUGGGGGGCUUGAGUAUGUUUGAGGCAGGCGGAAUGCGUGGUGUAGCGGUGAAAUGCAUAGAUAUCACGCAGAACCCCGAUUGCGAAGGCAGCCUGCCAAGCCAUUACUGACGCUGAUGCACGAAAGCGUGGGGAUCAAACAGGAUUAGAUACCCUGGUAGUCCACGCAGUAAACGAUGAUCACUAGCUGUUUGCGAUACACUGUAAGCGGCACAGCGAAAGCGUUAAGUGAUCCACCUGGGGAGUACGCCGGCAACGGUGAAACUCAAAGGAAUUGACGGGGGCCCGCACAAGCGGAGGAACAUGUGGUUUAAUUCGAUGAUACGCGGGGAGCCUUACCCGGGUUUGAACGCAUUCGGACCGAGGUGGAAACACCUUUUCUAGCAAUAGCCGUUUGCGAGGUGCUGCAUGGUUGUCGUCAGCUCGUGCCGUGAGGUGUCGGCUUAAGUGCCAUAACGAGCGCAACCCUUGCCACUAGUUACUAACAGGUAAAGAUGAGGACUCUGGUGGGACUGCCAGCGUAAGCUGCGAGGAAGGCGGGGAGGACGUCAAAUCAGCACGGCCCUUACAUCCGGGGCGACACACGUGUUACAAUGGCGUGGACAAAGGGAGGCCACCUGGCGACAGGGAGCGAAUCCCCAAACCACGUCUCAGUUCGGAUCGGAGUCUGCAACCCGACUCCGUGAAGCUGGAUUCGCUAGUAACCGCGCAUCAGCCAUGGCGCGGUGAAAAAGGUGCCGGGCCUUGCAC